rnacentral:rRNA from 1 species
UACGUAGGUGGCAAGCGUUGUCCGGAAUUAUUGGGCGUAAAGCGCGCGCAGGCGGUCCUUUAAGUCUGAUGUGAAAUCCCACGGCUCAACCGUGGAACUGCUUGGCAUACUGGCGGUCUUGAGCAACCUAGGGGCGAGCGGAACAAAUGGUGGAGCGGUGAAAUGCGUAGAUAUCAGGAGGAACACCGGUGGCGAAGGCGGUGAUCUGGGCCGACACUGACGCUGUAGAGCGAAAGCGUGGGGAGCGAACAGG